rnacentral:rRNA from 1 species
AUACCAGACUCCUACGGGAGGCAGCAGUGGGGAAUAUUGCACAAUGGGGGAAACCCUGAUGCAGCGACGCCGCGUGAGUGAAGAAGUCUUUCGGUCUGUAAAGCUCUAUCAGCAGGGAAGAAAAUGACGGUACCUGACUAAGAAGCCCCGGCUAACUACGUGCCAGCAGCCACGGUAAUACGUAGGGGGCAAGCGUUAUCCGGAUUUACUGGGUGUAAAGGGAGCGUAGACGGCGGUGCAAGCCAGAUGUGAAAGCCCGGGGCUCAACCCCGGGACUGCAUUUGGAACUGUGCUGCUAGAGUGUCGGAGAGGCAGGCAGAAUUCCUAGUGUAGCUGUGAAAUGCGUAGAUAUUAGGAGGAACACCGGCCGCGAAGGCGGCCUGCUGGACGACAACUGACGGUGAGGCGCGAACGCGUGGGGAGCAAACAGGAUUAUAUACCCCUGUAA